rnacentral:rRNA from 1 species
UACGGGGGGGGCAAGCGUUGUUCGGAAUUACUGGGCGUAAAGGGUUUGUAGGUGGUCUGCUAAGUCAGACGUGAAAUCCCUCAGCUUAACUGGGGAACUGCGUCCGAUACUGGUGGGCUUGAAUCCGGGAGAGGGAUGUGGAAUUCCAGGUGUAGCGGUGAAAUGCGUAGAUAUCUGGAGGAACACCGGUGGCGAAGGCGGCAUCCUGGACCGGUAUUGACGCUGAGGCGCGAAAGCUAGGGGAGCAAACGGG